ACCGUGCAAAGGUAGCAUAAUCAUUAGUUUUUUAAUUGAAAGCUGGAAUGAACGGUUGGACGAGAAAAUAACUGUCUCAAUUUAAUUGAAUGUAGAAUUUUAUUUAUAAGUAAAAAAGCUUAUAUGUAUUUAAAAGACGAGAAGACCCUAUAGAGUUUUAUAAUUUUUUAUAUUAAAGAAUUUUAGUAUGUUUAUAUUUUUGAUAUAAAAAAUUAUUUUGCUGGGGCAGCAGAAAAAUUAAAUAAACUUUUUUUUAUAUUUUUACAUUGAUUUAUGGUUUAAUGAUCCAUUUUUUAUGAUUAUAAGAUUAAAUUACCUUAGGGAUAACAGCGUAAUUUUUUUUUAGAGUUCUUAUCGAAAAAAGAGUUU
rnacentral:rRNA from 1 species